rnacentral:rRNA from 1 species
AGAGUUUGAUCCUGGCUCAGGAUGAACGCUGGCGGCGUGCCUAAUACAUGCAAGUCGAACGCACAGCGAAAGGUGCUUGCACCUUUCAAGUGAGUGGCGAACGGGUGAGUAACACGUGGACAACCUGCCUCAAGGCUGGGGAUAACAUUUGGAAACAGAUGCUAAUACCGAAUAAAACUUAGUGUCGCAUGACACAAAGUUAAAAGGCGCUUCGGCGUCACCUAGAGAUGGAUCCGCGGUGCAUUAGUUAGUUGGUGGGGUAAAGGCCUACCAAGACAAUGAUGCAUAGCCGAGUUGAGAGACUGAUCGGCCACAUUGGGACUGAGACACGGCCCAAACUCCUACGGGAGGCUGCAGUAGGGAAUCUUCCACAAUGGGCGAAAGCCUGAUGGAGCAACGCCGCGUGUGUGAUGAAGGCUUUCGGGUCGUAAAGCACUGUUGUAUGGGAAGAACAGCUAGAAUAGGAAAUGAUUUUAGUUUGACGGUACCAUACCAGAAAGGGACGGCUAAAUACGUGCCAGCAGCCGCGGUAAUACGUAUGUCCCGAGCGUUAUCCGGAUUUAUUGGGCGUAAAGCGAGCGCAGACGGUUUAUUAAGUCUGAUGUGAAAGCCCGGAGCUCAACUCCGGAAUGGCAUUGGAAACUGGUUAACUUGAGUGCAGUAGAGGUAAGUGGAACUCCAUGUGUAGCGGUGGAAUGCGUAGAUAUAUGGAAGAACACCAGUGGCGAAGGCGGCUUACUGGACUGCAACUGACGUUGAGGCUCGAAAGUGUGGGUAGCAAACAGGAUUAGAUACCCUGGUAGUCCACACCGUAAACGAUGAACACUAGGUGUUAGGAGGUUUCCGCCUCUUAGUGCCGAAGCUAACGCAUUAAGUGUUCCGCCUGGGGAGUACGACCGCAAGGUUGAAACUCAAAGGAAUUGACGGGGACCCGCACAAGCGGUGGAGCAUGUGGUUUAAUUCGAAGCAACGCGAAGAACCUUACCAGGUCUUGACAUCCUUUGAAGCUUUUAGAGAUAGAAGUGUUCUCUUCGGAGACAAAGUGACAGGUGGUGCAUGGUCGUCG